CGAGACAUUACAUAGAAAAGGUUACCAGAGAAAUUAAAUUAUUUUUCCAGCUCAUAACUUCAUCCAAAACCCCACAAUACUGGCCUGAGACUGGGGCCAUCCCUGUAUUUACACCCACUUAAAAACAGAGUAAUUUCCCCACUGAUUUUGGUAAAAUUACUUCAGCAACGAGCAAGGGUAACAAAGCAGCAAAUCAGGAGCGUUACUGCAGACUGUGCAUCACUCCUGAGAUUUGUGCAGAGAAGUGAAGUUAUUCUUUGCAGGGCCUCCUUCAAAACCACAUCAUUUCACUGCUGCACCGUAGGUUUACUCAUCCAGAACAGACAACGUCCUUUGCUAUAGAAAGGAACAGAAAUCGCCAACUGAAUGAAGACUCGGCUCGUACCUAUUUUUCAAACAUGAUUUUAUCAAAAAAUAUUCUCCUGGGAGUGCUGCAAGAAGCAGGGGUGUCUUGGCCAACCCCCAGUCUUUUAAUUGCUGGAUGCUUUUAACUAAUCUGAGUAAUUACCAUGUACAGACAGACAACUCAUUCCACCCAAGAGAGUGGCACUUCCAUUACAGUCUUUCUCAUUUCUAUAUAUACUCCCCAUAUCUGUUAACUAUCUAUGUAGGAGGAAAAGGGUGGAAGACGGUAUCAAGCUUAUCACAUGUGGGAAACAAUUUUGACUGAUUAAUAUGGGCUAUGUAUAGUGUACCCAGAAAUUACAGCUAUUAGGGCCAGCUCAGCGCUCGUCAUCAACAAAAACAAGACGUCCCCAAAUCUCUUUAGGAUCUCUGUGGAAUCUAAGAUGGAACCAUACGCACACACUGAACAUGUCCAUUAGAAAAAAGAAAUCUUUGUUGAACAUAUUACCAGGUCGAUUAACUUAAACGGGUGUUUACCAUUACCGCGUUUUGUUCAGUUUCAAAGCUCCGCUGCACUUUAUGGGAAAAAAGCAGUGAUUUCUUAUCUUUGUUUCAAUCCUACGGCCAUACCCCGCAGGGUCAGCAGACCACCAAGCCACAGUGAUGGAUGGAGGGGAGAGGAAAACCUCCCCCUGCAGAAAGCGACGCCGCUGUCCUACUCCUGCUUCUCUCUCUCUGCAGCAUCUGGAAAUGCCCUGCUCAGGGGUUGGGUAUUACAUUAAAAUAACAACUUGUCUAAUUAGAUACAGCAGUUCUGCUGUUCCUAAUAUCCUGUUACAGACUGGGACUAGCAGUAGUUGCCUAGGAGGAAGCUUUAAGGAGCUGCUCUGUAAGCAUAAGCUGUGCACAAGAGGAAGUAGUUCAUUAUAAAAGCUCUGUUGCAUAGAAACUCCACAUAAAAACUACCACAGAGGGUCAGAACGUGCUGUAGCUCAUGGCGGUGACUGGGCAGGAGUUACCACUGACCCCCCGAAGCUCUCAGAGUCACAGGUGGAACAGGAGCUGACGCAGAUCCCAGAGAAGCAGGGAAGGAACAGUGCGCGCAAGUCCCGUCCCCGCUGUCACCCCACGUGCUCUGUGGAACCGCGUGCGCGUUGCCACGUGUGGGCCCUUCUCGCUGCGAUUACUGCCAGUGACUUGCACUGUGCCGCUCCGUCACAAGUUUGACUUCAUCUCAGACCUAGACAAUGCUCGGGAGCAAACGCGGCAUGAAUGAAAAUGAAAACCUCAACUGCAGUUUUUGUUGACUGUGAGUUGUAAUUAUUUCAGUAUCAAACAAACAUGGAAUCACAUUAACCUUCGCUUGAGUGCAGCUUAAUCAGUCACAGUCAAAACACGAUAUAACCAAGUAAGUCAUUUGCCUGGCAUUAGAAUUUCAUGAACUAACAAAGCUGUCUUUGCGCUGAUGAGCGCUCUUCCCAGGAUGAACGCACUCUGCACGCAUCCAUGGCCCCACCUGCAGGGCAGGCCCAGCACCUCCACAAGUCACCGACCAACUUGCCUCUGAGUUCUUGCAUUUACAGCAUACUCGUGAACCAAAUCUUUUCCCUCACACUUUCAAUAAUAAAUGAGCUUAAUCACACAGCUUGGUGUGGUUUCAGCUUGAGACUUUUCCUAAUGAACUCCUCGAUUUUCUAUGCUUCCGCUCUCCUCCGUUUCUACCAGCAUCCAAAGCAGGACUUUGUUUAUCCUCGGCUGCAGAAUAUUGAAAGACAUCCUCUAAACUCAGUGUUUCAUUCACUCUUUACUGCCUAAACUCAAAUAAGGGCCUAUUCAAACGAGCCCUUGUUAAACCUGCAACGUGAGUCAGCUCUCGUUUCAGAGAGCAUAUUUUAUUGAGCUGCUCAGGGGAAAAGAUUAAUGAAGCCUUUUUUUCAUUGGAAUUUACUGCUUAGAGUUACUCAUUGAGAUCAGCUGCUGGCACCGACCUAAGAACGCCCGGGGGUUUGGGAAUGGCCCCGCAGGAGGCACACACCCGGCCCCGGCCAUCACAGAGCCCUGCUGCACUCCGGGCACUCUUACUGCUGCUGCGGCCAUAGCAUUACACUUAAUGACUAUUAUUAAGGGACACAGUAUGUAGAAGAGUGUUAUAAAAAGAAAGGAGAACAAGCCUCCAAGAAAACCAGGAGAGAAUCCCAAGCACGCACAAGCGUGUUCAGUCGCACCAAGAAUGUGCUGAAAAAUGACUUCCAGCUUCUUCGAAGUGCCCAUGAAGUUCAGGUUCUGCUUUGCCUUAGUAGAUGCAUCAAAUAUCUCACAUUUGGAAUUGAGAACCAAAGUGGGAUUUCACUUCUAAAUUUUAUGUGAUUUUUAAAAAUCCUCAUCAAAUGCCAAGGAGGCUCUUUGGGUUUCAGGGGCCUUGUUCUCAUCAGCUCAGCGGUAGCAGAGAUCUACAGACUUUGGGAGAUGCUUGCACUGCUCGCAGUGAGCUCACUGGCAAUAAGACAAAUAGCUUCUCUUUGCAAAAUGUUUUGGGAAAAAAGGGUGUCCUGUGGCAUCAUCUGCAUCUACCCCUUGAUGUAUUAUGUUAUUAGCAUGUAUUAUACCAGCGUAAGCAGGCUUGUCAGUGCAGUUUUAUUUGUACUAGAUACUGUUGAUGCUGUGACAGAAAACAAAUCCCUAAUUGCCAGAGCUAUCCUGAGAUUUUUUCCCCCUCUAGUUUUGCUGGGUUUACAGUUUGUAUAUCAUUAAGUUGUAAAGUCAGAGGUUUGCAUUAUUUAAUCUCCAGUCUUAUUUUCAAGGACUUGUGUACACAUACAACAGAGUAUUUCACGUGAACAGCUCUCCUACUCAUAAACUGAUCUAUGAUAUUGA